rfam:Triticum aestivum genome assembly, contig: Triticum_aestivum_CS42_TGACv1_scaffold_320741_4BL
UGGCAAUGAUGAUUGAACAAAGGCUUGUUUCUCAAAACAUUCGCAGAUGCCGCAUAAGAGCUUUCGCCCUGCCAGGCUUGAGAGCUAAUGCUGCUAAUUCCUUCCUUGGAUGUCUGAGUCA